rnacentral:misc_RNA from 1 species
GAAAUGCGAUACGUAAUGCGAAUUGCAGAAUUCAGUGAAUCAUCAAAUUCUUGAACGCAAAUUGCGCUUCCGGGAUAGCCCUGGGAGCACGCUUCUUUGAGUAUCGGUUCACACCAUACUCGGCGGCGUUUUAAUUUAUUAAAACGUGCAGCCGGAUAAUGAGCGUCACAGCCAGAGUGUGCACUACGUGGCUGCGUCGCUUCAAGCUCAGAGCGCCAAUUACCAAGCUCAAGUUUAGCCCCCAAUGUCGGGACGAACAAUGGGUACACACCCCAAAUUUGUUAGUCAUACCAAACUGACAUUGUAGGUUUGAGUUUUGGUUACAAAAGGUGCUAUUUGGAAUUAACGGGUCGGCAGGCAACUGCACUUCCCCUCGAAAUAGAUCUCAGAUGAAGCGAGA